AAGGCAUGGUGAUGGCACUUUCUAAGCAUCUCCUUGAAUCUCUCUUAACUCUAAUAAAUAUAUUCUCCUUCUAAGUGAGUAAAAUAAGUAAUAUCAAUUCUAAGCUU